CAGUCUAUACUGGGCUCCAGUCUGCUCCUUCUCCAUCUUCCUCCUCGUACUCCUGCAUGCUGUCUGCGUCCCCGUCAUACUCCUCUCCUCAUCUCACAGCUCCUCCUUCAGGCAACACCAGCACAGGUCUGAUUUCUCCAGGGGUUUCUGUACCUGUCCAGGUACCAGGAAAUGACCAAAACAUGUACUGGGCCAGACUGCAGUAAGAUUAGGGGAGGAAGAUCUUGCUUUAGAAUAUUAAAUAUUAAUGUUUACAAAAGGUAAAA